AUGGCCCUCCACAGCCCGCAGUAUAUUUUUGGAGAUUUUAGUCCUGAUGAAUUCAAUCAGUUCUUUGUGACUCCUCGAUCUUCAAUUGAG
rnacentral:sRNA from 1 species